rnacentral:pre_miRNA from 1 species
AGUCCCCUUUCGGUUUUCACUGUAGGCCUGUAUGUAUCACUGAAAUCAUAAGGCACGCGGUGAAUGCCAAAAGCGGUGAC